GCCAACAUAGCAUAGUGGUUUGAGUGUUGGACUGCAACUCUGGAGGCCAGGGUUCAAUUCCCUGCUUGGCU